rnacentral:rRNA from 1 species
GAUGAACGCUGGCGGCGUGCCUAAUACAUGCAAGUCGAGCGAACAGAUAAGGAGCUUGCUCCUUUGACGUUAGCGGCGAACGGGUGAGUAACACGUGGAUAACCUACCUAUAAGACUGGGAUAACUUCGGGAAACCGGAGCUAAUACCGGAUAACAUAUUGAACCGCAUGGUUCAAUAGUGAAAGGCGGCUUUGCUGUCACUUAUAGAUGGAUCCGCGCCGUAUUAGCUAGUUGGUAAGGUAACGGCUUACCAAGGCAACGAUACGUAGCCGACCUGAGAGGGUGAUCGGCCACACUGGAACUGAGACACGGUCCAGACUCCUACGGGAGGCAGCAGUAGGGAAUCUUCCGCAAUGGGCGAAAGCCUGACGGAGCAACGCCGCGUGAGUGAUGAAGGUCUUCGGAUCGUAAAACUCUGUUAUCAGGGAAGAACAAAUGUGUAAGUAACUGUGCACAUCUUGACGGUACCUGAUCAGAAAGCCACGGCUAACUACGUG